rnacentral:rRNA from 1 species
UACGGAGGGUGCAAGCGUUAUCCGGAUUCACUGGGUUUAAAGGGUGCGUAGGUGGGUUGGUAAGUCAGUGGUGAAAUCUCCGAGCUUAACUUGGAAACUGCCAUUGAUACUAUCAGUCUUGAAUACCGUGGAGGUCAGCGGAAUAUGUCAUGUAGCGGUGAAAUGCUUAGAUAUGACAUAGAACACCAAUUGCGAAGGCAGCUGACUACGCGAAUAGUGACACUGAUGCACGAAAGCGUGGGGAUCAAACAGG